rnacentral:rRNA from 1 species
UACGUAGGGGGCAAGCGUUGUCCGGAAUCAUUGGGCGUAAAGCGCGUGUAGGCGGCUCGGUAAGUCUGCUCUGAAAGCCCGGGGCUCAACCCUGGGAGGCGGGUGGAUACUGCUGAGCUCGAGUCCGGAAGAGGCGAGUGGAAUUCCUGGUGUAGCGGUGAAAUGCGCAGAUAUCAGGAGGAACACCAAUGGCGAAGGAAGCUCGCUGGGACGGUACUGACGCUGAGACGCGAAAGCGUGGGGAGCAAACAGG